UAAGCACAUUUCUGUUCGCACAUCCUGUUCUUUGUGAUUUGAGCGUGGUGCACCGUAUGCCUUGUUUUUGUUGAACUUAUUCGACACUAGUAAAUCGUGCCUCGUGUUUGCUGUGAGGCGUCUCCCUAGUUUCAGAUCUCCGUGUGUCAUGCGUCCUGGCUCGUAGGGUGAUCAAGGCGCUCUUAUUGUAAUGUAUCGUUGCGGAAUAUAGAAUAUAGGAAUAUAGAAUAGAUAGUGUCACAUAUGAAGCAUCACAUACGAGAGGGUCAUGAUCUGAUGUCCUUAUGAACGCUGCCAGAAGUAGUUCCGUGCCGUCUCCGCGUUUUGUAUGCACCUUCAUAUGUUCUUCCUUUGACAAAAUAAAGCGGAGGGUAUAAUAUCCUUUCUCUUUGCAAUGUUUUGAUGCAAGAGCUGACUGAUGGGUGCACGUGGCUCCUUCGAACGUUCUUCCAUUGCAAAAAUAAAUGUGUUUUGAUGCCAGAGCUGACUGAUGGGUGCACAUGGUUCCUUCGUAUGUUCUUCCUUUGAAAAAAUAAACGGGUUUUGAUGCCAGAGGUGAUUGGCGCAUUUUCAUCACUAUGUACAUAGAAAAUAAAUCCCAAUGUGACAAACA